rnacentral:rRNA from 1 species
UACGAAGGGUGCUAGCGUUGCUCGGAAUCACUGGGCGUAAAGCGCACGUAGGCGGACUCUUAAGUCGGUGGUGAAAUCCUGGAGCUCAACUCCAGAACUGCCUUCGAUACUGAGAGUCUCGAGUCCGGGAGAGGUGAGUGGAACUGCGAGUGUAGAGGUGAAGUUCGUAGAUAUUCGCAAGAACACCAGUGGCGAAGGCGGCUCACUGGCCCGGUACUGACGCUGAGGUGCGAAAGCGUGGGGAGCAAACAGG